CCUAGUAGCUGCAAACUGUGCUGGUAUAUCAUGGGUCGUAGAGUUCCUGCUUGCAAGAGGUGAAUAUCUCCCCAAAUCAUCCGAUUCUAGAUUUUUUGCAACUGCACCUCCUAAACCUCUCUGUUGGUGACUCAAUAAAUCCCGAUCCCAAUCUGAUGUCUGCGCAUCAGGAGAAGUCAUUGGUAUCUUUCCAAGGGAAUAUGCAGGCUGUGACACCAAUUCAAGCCCAUUUUUGUGAUUUGAGUGGUUCACAUCAGAACGCCAAGGUGCCAUUUGAUACUGGGAUUCCUUGAGCUUAGACUCAGUUUGAAUGAGCUUCUCCUGAAGAUGUCUGAACAGAACCCUGACAUCGCUAACGAUAGACUGGGCAUCUGGAACUGGUGGCUG
rnacentral:misc_RNA from 1 species